rnacentral:rRNA from 1 species
CAGUAGCCGCGGUAAUACGAAGGGGGCUAGCGUUGCUCGGAAUUACUGGGCGUAAAGGGAGCGUAGGCGGAUCGUUAAGUUGGGGGUGAAAGCCCGGGGCUCAACCUUGGAACUGCCUUUGAUACUGUUUGUCUUGAGUUCGAGAGAGGUAAGUGGAACUGCGAGUGUAGAGGUGAAAUUCGUAGAUAUUCGCAAGAACACCAGUGGCGAAGGCGGCUUACUGGCUCGAAACUGACGCUGAGGCUCGAAAGCGUGGGGAGCAAACAGGAUUAGAUACCCGUGUAGUCCCUGUCUCUAUACA